AUAGCUUAAAAAAAAAGACAUCGCCGUUAGAAAAGGAUUAGAACGUCAUCUUCAUCGGCUUCUUCUUCAUCACCCAAUUGCGAUUUCACCUUCUUCAAACCAAAUCAAGCCAUGUCUGACGGAUGACAACAAUCUGCAACGGCUUUUGAGUAGCUAAGCUUCUUAAAGCAGCUUGCCCCCCACAACAAGUUUCAUUUGCAUGACUAAAAUCAUCAAUGGUGUGCAAGUUAGAAGCGAUUAUUGAGCAUCUGACUGACCAGUUGAGGAAAAUUCAGAUAGUGAACGAUACCAAUAAGGACUUUGUUGUCGAGGCACUGAGAUUAAUCACGGAGAUACUAACCUAUGGCGAUCACCAUGAUCCCUCAUUAUUUGAGUCAGUCUUUUCAGUCAACCCUCUUAGUUUCCUAUUGUGGCAUAUGCUCAUAUUUCGAAAAUAGCUGCAGGUUUUUUUGGAGAAGCAAGUCAUGGGAGAGUUUGUACGUAUUUUGAGGGUUAGCAAAAGAGUAACAGUUUCUGUUCAGUUGUUGCAAACCAUGAGUAUUAUGAUCCAAAACCUCAAAAGUGAACAAGCCAUCUACUACUUGUUCAGUAACGAAUAUGUAAACUAUUUGUUGUCAUCGCCGUCAGACAUGGCUUGAUUUGGUUUGAAGAAGGUGAAACCAAAAUUGGGCGACUAAGAAGAAGAAGCCGAUGGAGAUCACGUUCUAAUCAUUUUCGAACGGCUCUCUUUUUUUUAUAGCUAUUUUCCUUUUUUAUUGUUAGUUUUAAUUCCUUUCUUAUUUACUAAUUCUACGUGGCAAUUUGAUUGGAAUUAAUAAUAGAGAUGAAUUUGUUGGGGAAA